GGUUCCUUAGCUUAAUGGUAAAGCGCAUUCUUGAUAAGGAUGUUAGUUGUGGUUCAAGUCCACAAGGAAUCA
rnacentral:tRNA from 1 species